rnacentral:lncRNA from 1 species
CAAAUGUGCAUUUUUUUCCUUUCAUUACAAGCAGAGAACCUUGCACAAUGAUGUGACUGCUGGAACUGGGGUUUUAAGACCAACUGUAAAUUGUGGAGUCUCCUGAACAAUUUUUCCCAUGUUUCUCUUAAAUGCAGUGGCUUGGUCUCGUUUUAUACCCAAAGUACUGCCUAGGCUCCCUUAACAGGAAGUCUAUUUUGACAAACAGACAAAAAAAAUGCAAGCAUUUUUUGCAGCCUAUUGAUUGAGGAGACCACUGGAAUAAAGCCACCGGCUCCCUUACACUGCACUGUAGUUGGAAAUGCUGAGUCAUGGCCUGAAGCAGUGAUUGAGCCCCUGGUGGGAAGGCAGGGCCAACCCAGGGGAGCUCAGGUGCAUGCAAUGCCCAGGAGGGCUGGAGCCAGGAUCCACCCCUUCCCAGACCUUAUUUAAGUGUUGGCAGUGGAGGUGAGGGUAUCUUGGUGGAGUUUCCUGCUUAUUUGAGGCCUUCUAAAGAUAAGAAGCUUUUUUUCUUUUGUUUCUGUUGCAUUUUGGCUUAUCUUCUUUUGCUGUAGCUAAAGACUUGGCUAUCUUGAUGUUAUUGCAGUACUUUCCAUCAUAUUAUAGUGCACCUGUGGCUGAAUUGCUUUACUUCUCCAGCUGUCUCUAUAAUCCCACUGAUGACUGUGUCUUUUCUGCUGUAGCAGCAUAACCUUGGAAAGGCACUGCUGAACCCACACUGUUGGGGUCCUGCUGCCCAUCUGCACCUGCUGUGUGUCCAGGAAAAUGCUCUGAAGGCCAGAAGGGAAGUGGCUUUGCAUCCUCUCAUCUCUUUCAUAUUGGUAAGCUACUCAGAGAAAGAUUCAUGACAUUUGAAGAAGCUGUCCUCAACAGGAGAGCACUUCUCCAUCUGAUCACAGCACAAGAGAAGGAACCCCGAGACAACGUCUAGUGAAUCCAGAAUACACACACACACACCAGAAUAAAAAUCUGAUCAGUGCUACA